rnacentral:rRNA from 1 species
UACGGGGGGGGCAAGCGUUGUUCGGAAUUACUGGGCGUAAAGGGCUCGUAGGCGGCCAACUAAGUCAGACGUGAAAUCCCUCGGCUUAACCGGGGAACUGCGUCUGAUACUGGAUGGCUUGAGUUUGGGAGAGGGAUGCGGAAUUCCAGGUGUAGCGGUGAAAUGCGUAGAUAUCUGGAGGAACACCGGUGGCGAAAGCGGCUUACUGGGUCUCUUCUGACGCUGAGGAACGAAAGCUAGGGUAGCGAACGGG